rnacentral:rRNA from 1 species
UUAAGUUAUUAAGGGCGCACGGUGGAUGCCUUGGCACUAGAAGCCGAUGAAGGACGUUACUAACGACGAUAUGCUUUGGGGAGCUGUAAGUAAGCUUUGAUCCAGAGAUUUCCGAAUGGGGAAACCCAGCAUGAGUUAUGUCAUGUUAUCGAUAUGUGAAUACAUAGCAUAUCAGAAGGCACACCCGGAGAACUGAAACAUCUUAGUACCCGGAGGAAGAGAAAGAAAAUUCGAUUCCCUUAGUAGCGGCGAGCGAAACGGGAAGAGCCCAAACCAACAAGCUUGCUUGUUGGGGUUGUAGGACACUCUAUACGGAGUUACAAAGGACGACAUUAGACGAAUCAUCUGGAAAGAUGAAUCAAAGAAGGUAAUAAUCCUGUAGUCGAAAAUGUUGUCUCUCUUGAGUGGAUCCUGAGUACGACGGAGCACGUGAAAUUCCGUCGGAAUCUGGGAGGACCAUCUCCUAAGGCUAAAUACUCUCUAGUGACCGAUAGUGAACCAGUACCGUGAGGGAAAGGUGAAAAGCACCCCGGAAGGGGAGUGAAAUAGAACCUGAAACCGUGUGCUUACAAGUAGUCAGAGCCCGUUAAUGGGUGAUGGCGUGCCUUUUGUAGAAUGAACCGGCGAGUUACGAUUUGAUGCAAGGUUAAGCAGUAAAUGUGGAGCCGUAGCGAAAGCGAGUCUGAAUAGGGCGUUUAGUAUUUGGUCGUAGACCCGAAACCAGGUGAUCUACCCUUGGUCAGGUUGAAGUUCAGGUAACACUGAAUGGAGGACCGAACCGACUUACGUUGAAAAGUGAGCGGAUGAACUGAGGGUAGCGGAGAAAUUCCAAUCGAACCUGGAGAUAGCUGGUUCUCUCCGAAAUAGCUUUAGGGCUAGCCUCAAGUGAUGAUUAUUGGAGGUAGAGCACUGUUUGGACGAGGGGCCCCUCUCGGGUUACCGAAUUCAGACAAACUCCGAAUGCCAAUUAAUUUAACUUGGGAGUCAGAACAUGGGUGAUAAGGUCCGUGUUCGAAAGGGAAACAGCCCAGACCACCAGCUAAGGUCCCAAAAUAUAUGUUAAGUGGAAAAGGAUGUGGCGUUGCCCAGACAACUAGGAUGUUGGCUUAGAAGCAGCCAUCAUUUAAAGAGUGCGUAAUAGCUCACUAGUCGAGUGACACUGCGCCGAAAAUGUACUGGGGCUAAACAUAUUACCGAAGCUGUGGAUUGUCCUUUGGACAAUGGUAGGAGAGCGUUCUAAGGGCGUUGAAGCAUGAUCGUAAGGACAUGUGGAGCGCUUAGAAGUGAGAAUGCCGGUGUGAGUAGCGAAAGACGGGUGAGAAUCCCGUCCACCGAUUGACUAAGGUUUCCAGAGGAAGGCUCGUCCGCUCUGGGUUAGUCGGGUCCUAAGCUGAGGCCGACAGGCGUAGGCGAUGGAUAACAGGUUGAUAUUCCUGUACCACCUAUAAUCGUUUUAAUCGAUGGGGGGGACGCAGUAGGAUAGGCGAAGCGUGCGAUUGGAUUGCACGUCUAAGCAGUAAGGCUGAGUAUUAGGCAAAUCCGGUACUCAUUAAGGCUGAGCUGUGAUGGGGAGAAGACAUUGUGUCUUCGAGUCGUUGAUUUCACACUGCCGAGAAAAGCCUCUAGAUAGAAAAUAGGUGCCCGUACCGCAAACCGACACAGGUAGUCAAGAUGAGAAUUCUAAGGUGAGCGAGCGAACUCUCGUUAAGGAACUCGGCAAAAUGACCCCGUAACUUCGGGAGAAGGGGUGCUCUUUAGGGUUAACGCCCAGAAGAGCCGCAGUGAAUAGGCCCAAGCGACUGUUUAUCAAAAACACAGGUCUCUGCUAAACCGUAAGGUGAUGUAUAGGGGCUGACGCCUGCCCGGUGCUGGAAGGUUAAGAGGAGUGGUUAGCUUCUGCGAAGCUACGAAUCGAAGCCCCAGUAAACGGCGGCCGUAACUAUAACGGUCCUAAGGUAGCGAAAUUCCUUGUCGGGUAAGUUCCGACCCGCACGAAAGGCGUAACGAUUUGGGCACUGUCUCAACGAGAGACUCGGUGAAAUCAUAGUACCUGUGAAGAUGCAGGUUACCCGCGACAGGACGGAAAGACCCCGUGGAGCUUUACUGUAGCCUGAUAUUGAAAUUCGGCACAGCUUGUACAGGAUAGGUAGGAGCCUUUGAAACGUGAGCGCUAGCUUACGUGGAGGCGCUGGUGGGAUACUACCCUAGCUGUGUUGGCUUUCUAACCCGCACCACUUAUCGUGGUGGGAGACAGUGUCAGGCGGGCAGUUUGACUGGGGCGGUCGCCUCCUAAAAGGUAACGGAGGCGCUCAAAGGUUCCCUCAGAAUGGUUGGAAAUCAUUCAUAGAGUGUAAAGGCAUAAGGGAGCUUGACUGCGAGACCUACAAGUCGAGCAGGGUCGAAAGACGGACUUAGUGAUCCGGUGGUUCCGUAUGGAAGGGCCAUCGCUCAACGGAUAAAAGCUACCCCGGGGAUAACAGGCUUAUCUCCCCCAAGAGUUCACAUCGACGGGGAGGUUUGGCACCUCGAUGUCGGCUCAUCGCAUCCUGGGGCUGUAGUCGGUCCCAAGGGUUGGGCUGUUCGCCCAUUAAAGCGGUACGCGAGCUGGGUUCAGAACGUCGUGAGACAGUUCGGUCCCUAUCCGUCGUGGGCGUAGGAAAUUUGAGAGGAGCUGUCCUUAGUACGAGAGGACCGGGAUGGACAUACCUCUGGUGUACCAGUUGUCGUGCCAACGGCAUAGCUGGGUAGCUAUGUGUGGACGGGAUAAGUGCUGAAAGCAUCUAAGCAUGAAGCCCCCCUCAAGAUGAGAUUUCCCAACUUCGGUUAUAAGAUCCCUCAAAGAUGAUGAGGUUAAUAGGUUCGAGGUGGAAGCAUGGUGACAUGUGGAGCUGACGAAUACUAAUCGAUCGAAGACUUAAUCAA